CAAUAGCGUAUAUUAAAGUUGUUGCAGUUAAAAAGCUCGUAGUUGGAUUUCUGGUGGGAGCGAUCGGUCUGGCGCUUAGCGCGAGUACUUGCAUCGUCUCCGGCCAUCCUUGGGGAGAGUCUGUCUGGCAUUAAGUUGUCGGGCAGAGGAUCCUCAUCGUUUACUGUGAAAAAAUUAGAGUGUUCAAAGCAGGCUUAUGCCGUUGAAUAUAUUAGCAUGGAAUAAUAAGAUAGGACUUUGGUACUAUUUUGUUGGUUUGCGCACCAAAGUAAUGAUUAAUAGGGACAGUUGGGGGUAUUCGUAUCCCGUUGUCAGAGGUGAAAUUCUUGGAUUUACGGAAGACGAACUACUGCGAAAGCAUUUACCAAGGAUGUUUUCAUUAA
rnacentral:rRNA from 1 species